CAUUACACAAGUCAGGAGCAUACACACAUUUGAUGAAUGCGGAUGAUGUUGAGAAUUUGAAGUGGCUGAAAAUUUUCAACAAAUAUGACCUCUAUAGUAAGAGCAAAGUGCGCAUUGAUGUCGAGAAGGUCAAGCCAUACUAUCGUUCUCUUAUUGAGAAGUAUUUCCCAGCCAAGCUGAGAUGGUGAACAUUCCAAAUUGAAGACAUUGAUUUGAGAAAUCACAGAUUUUAUUUUAUUUUUCUUUUUGUGAUUGAUUCAUGCACUUGUAUAAAACACAACAGAGAUUUGUGGGUUCUUUGUAAAUCCUCUGAUGUG